GUGUUGUAUGAAAGGAGAGAAGGUGAGCACUCCCCUCGACAAGGAUGGAAUUGGCCCUAGUGGCCAUCAACACAUAUACGGUUAAGGCACUGCCACUUACUUCGUGGCAUGGCAUCUAUAACCAGAUUUUUUU